rnacentral:tRNA from 1 species
GAGGUUGUGGCUCAGUGGUAGAGCGCUUGCCUUGCAUGUGUGAGGCACUGGGUUCAAUUCUCAGCACCACA